GGGGGUACCGGUAUCGGAAUAUUAGGGCGUAAGCGCGCGCAGGUGGUUUCUUAAGUCUGAUGUGAAAGCCCACGGCUCAACCGUGGAGGGUCAUUGGAAACUGGGAGACUUGAGUGCAGAAGAGGAAAGUGGAAUUCCAUGUGUAGCGGUGAAAUGCGUAGAGAUUUGGAGGAACACCAGUGGCGAAGGCGACUUUCUGGUCUGUAACUGACACUGAGGCGCGAAAGCGUGGGGAGCAAACAGGAUUAGAUACCCUGGUAGUCCACGCCGUAAACGAUGAGUGCUAAGUGUUAGGGGGUUUCCGCCCUUUAGUGCUGAAGUUAACGCAUUAAGCACUCCGCCGGGGGAGUACGGCCGCAAGGCUGAAACUCAAAGGAAUUGACGGGGGCCCGCACAAGCGGUGGAGCAUGUGGUUUAAUUCGAAGCAACGCGAAGAACCUUACCAGGUCUUGACAUCCUCUGACCACCCGAGAAAAAGGGCUUCCCCUUCGGGAGCAAAGUGACAGGGGGGGCGUGGGGGUCGCCACCUCGCGUGUCGAGAUGUGGGGUUAAAUCCCGCAACGAGCGCAACCCUUGAGCUCAGUUGCGACCAUUUAGUUGGGCACUCUAAGGUGACAGCGGGUGACAAACCGGAGGAGGGUGGGGAUGACAUCUAAUCUUCAUGCGCCUUAUGACCUGGGCUACACACGUGCGACAAUGGACGGUACACAGAGAUGCACGACCGCGAGAUGGAGCUAAUCUCAUAAAACGGUUCUCAAUUCUCAUUGUAGGCUGCACGUCGCCCAACAUGAAACUGGGAAUCUUCUAGUAAUCUCGGGAUCAUCACUGCCGCCGCUGGAAUAAGGUUUCCCGGGGCCUUUGUUGUACACGAGCGGCGUCAUCACCAGCAAAGAAGUUUUGUAGACACCCCCCAAGUUCUGCUGGUAGAUAAUCACCUUUUUGGAGACACCGCCCCCCCCCCAAGAUAGGGAACACACACAAAUAAGGGGGGUGGGAGCACCUUAUAAAAAGAUGUAACACCCUGCGAUAAAGCUGCGGACUCUACGUAGUAUUCCACCCGCCGUGUAGGAUUUAAAUGAUGAAGGAUAUGCAUCCUCCCGUGGAGGAGGGGCGACGACCGAAUUAUCUUAACGGCAGGAAGGAAGGUAGGGAGUUGGUUCUUUCCCUCCCACCCAACGACCAAAGGAAUGGAAUGAUUGGUGGUAGCAAGGAAGGAGGCAGGAAAUAAAAUCGCCUUCCUCAAUCUACCAAGCCAAGGGGGCAGGGCCCAGUGUGCGGUAUUUCGGUCUAUCUCCACCUUUAAAUGUGGGAAACCCCAAUUCCCCGACCCCUACCCUUGAAGGGGAAGGGGGUAAGGGGCACAAAUAAAAACAAUAUUCCAAACCCGGGGCAAAGGAAAUUUUGGGGGGUGUCCCCCCCGAAUACCCCACAGGCGCCAAAAAAUUUUAUAAAAAGGGGGAGGAGGGUUUAGGAGGGCCGCGAAGGGGGGUGUGGGGGCCCUCUGUGGGGGGAAAUUUUUGGACCCUCAUAAAACGGGUAAAAACCUUUUGCCCAACUUGGGGGAAAGAAAGAAAAGAAGGGCGGGAAACCCCCCCGGCAAAUAAACCCCUAACUCUCCCCCCCGUGUUUUUGAAAAAGGUUUUUAAAAGGGGGUGGGGGGGGGGUCGGGGGGCAGUAAUAACCCCCAAAAAAAACGCAGUUUUUUCCCCCGGAUUUUUUGGGGCGCGCCAAAAAUUUUGGAAAAGUUGGGGGGGAAGAAGGGGACAAGAACCCCCCCCCCUGAUCCCCCAAAAAACCCCCAAAAAGCCCCCCCAAAAACGCCCCAAAAAGUGGGAAGAACCCCCCGGGAAAAGGGAGGGAGGGGGGGGGGCCGGGGAAACCCGGGGUGUGGUCGGCGGGGUUUCUCCCCCCCCUAAAAAUAGACAAAAAAGGUGGGGG
rnacentral:rRNA from 1 species